rnacentral:rRNA from 1 species
UGGCGGCGUGCCUAAACAUGCAAGUCGAACGGGAAAGCGGGGGCAACCCUGUGAGUACAGUGGCGUACGGGUGAGUAACACGUGACUACCUACCCUCGAGUGGGGGAUAACCCCGGGAAACCGGGGCUAAUACCGCAUAACAUCGCAAGAUCAAAGGAGCAAUUCGCUUGAGGAGGGGGUCGCGGCUGAUUAGCUAGUUGGUGAGGUAACGGCCCACCAAGGCGAUGAUCGGUAGCCGGCCUGAGAGGGCGCACGGCCACACUGGAACUGAAACACGGUCCAGACUCCUACGGGAGGCAGCAGUGGGGAAUUUUGCGCAAUGGGGGAAACCCUGACGCAGCAACGCCGCGUGGAGGAUGAAGUCCCUUGGGACGUAAACUCCUUUCGACCCGGACGAUAAUGACGGUACGGGUGGAAGAAGCACCGGCUAACUUCGUGCCAGCAGCCGCGGUAAUACGAGGGGUGCGAGCGUUGUUCGGAAUUAUUGGGCGUAAAGGGCGCGUANGCGGUGCGGUAAGUCACCUGUGAAAUCUC